UACGUAGGGGGCUAGCGUUGUCCGGAUUUACUGGGCGUAAAGAGCGCGCAGGCGGUCGUUCAAGUCGAGUGUGAAAGCCCCCGGCUCAACUGGGGAGGGUCAUUCGAUACUGAUCGACUCGAAGGCAGGAGAGGGUAGUGGAAUUCCCGGUGUAGUGGUGAAAUGCGUAGAUAUCGGGAGGAACACCAGUGGCGAAGGCGACUACCUGGCCUGUUCUUGACGCUGAGGCGCGAAAGCUAGGGGAGCAAACGGG
rnacentral:rRNA from 1 species